rnacentral:rRNA from 1 species
CCUGCUGGGCGUUAACUGACGCUGAGUCACGAAAGCGUGGGUAGCAAACAGGGUUAGAUACCUGGUAGUCCAUGCUGUAAACGAUGAUUACUAGGUGUGGGUGGACUGACCCCAUCCGUGCCGGAGUUAACACAAUAAGUAAUCCACCUGGGAAGUACGACCGCAAGGUUGAAACUCAAAGGAAUUGACGGGGGCCCGCACAAGCAGUGGAGUAUGUGGUUUAAUUCGAAGCAACGCGAAGAACCUUACCAGGUCUUGACAUCCGCUUAAUUUGGCAGAAAAGCCGAAGUGCCCUUCGGGGAAAAGCGAGACAGGUGGUGCAUGGUUGUCGUCAGCUCGUGUCGUGAGAUGUUGGGUUAAGUCCCGCAACGAGCGCAACCCUUGUGAUUAGUUGCUACGAAAGAGCACUCUAAUCAGACCGCCGUUGACAAAACGGAGGAAGGUGGGGAUGACGUCAAAUCAUCAUGCCCCUUAUGACCUGGGCAACACACGUACUACAAUGGCCAUCAACAACAGGAAGCGAAGCCGCGAGGCGGAGCGAAACCCGAAAAAUGGUCUCAGUUCGGAUUGUAGGCUGCAACCCGCCUACAUGAAGCUGGAAUUGCUAGUAAUCGCGGAUCAGCAUGCCGCGGUGAAUACGUUCCCGGGCCUUGUACACACCGCCCGUCACACCAUGGGAGCCGGUAAUACCCGAAGUCGGUAGUCUAACAGCAAUGGAGACGCCGCCGAAGGUAGGAUUGGCGACUGGGGUGAAGUCGUAACAAGGUAA